rnacentral:rRNA from 1 species
AGAAUUUUUAAGUAAAAAUAUUUUAAAGGGGGGUUAAAGUAUUUUUAUAGAAAAAAUUAAAUAAUUUAUAAUAAAUUAGUAUUGUGAAAGAAUUUUGAAAUAUAUGAAAAAUAAAAUUAAUUAAAAGUAAUUUUAAUUUAAUGUAUCUUGGGUAUCAGAGUUUAUUAAUAAAAAUUUUUAAAUAAAAAAUUCUCGAAUUUAAAAGAGAUAAUUAAUUAAUAAAGUUAUUGUAGCAUAAAUAUUUUAAAUAAUUAAUUGGAAAUGAAAUGUUAAUCGUUUUUAAAUAUAUCUAGUUUUUUUAGAAAAAAAUUUAAUUUUUUAUUAUUUUAUAAAUAAAUUAAAUAAUUAAUUUAUUUAUAAAAUAAUAUUAUAUUUUAGGGGAUAAGCUUUAAUUUAAAAUUAUAUAAAUAAAUUAAUUAUUAUAAUUGAAAUUUAUAUAAUUUAUAUUGUUAAUAAAAUUUAAUUUAUUAUAAAUAAUUUCAUUUAAAAUAAAAUUUAAUAAAAUUUUAUAUAUUUAUAAAAAAAAAUUUUUUAAUAUUAUAAAAAUUGUUAUAAUGAUAAAAUUAGUAUAUUAAAAUAUAAAAUGAAAAAUAUAUUAUAUUUUAUUAUUUUAAAUAAAAUUAAUUAAAAGGAAUUCGGCAAAAAUUUAUAUUCACUUGUUUAUCAAAAACAUGUCUUUUUGUAAAUAAUAUAAAGUCUAAUCUGCCCACUGAUUUUAAUAUUAAAGGGCUGCAGUAUAUUGACUGUACAAAGGUAGCAUAAUCAUUAGUCAUUUAAUUGAUGACUUGUAUGAAAGAUUGGAUGAAAUAUAAACUGUCUCUUAAUUAAGUGUAGAAUUUAAUUUUUUAAUCAAAAAGUUAAAAUAAUUUAAAAAGACGAGAAGACCCUAUAGAGUUUUAUAAAUAAAUUAAUUAAGAUUAUGUAUAAAUUUAAUUAAUUUAUCAAAAUUAAAUUAUUUAUUUUGUUGGGGUGACAAAAAAAUAUAAUAAACUUUUUUUCUUUUUAAACAUAUAUAAGUGAUUAUUUGAUCCAAUAAUAUUGAUUAUAAGAAAAAAUUACCUUAGGGAUAACAGCGUAAUUUUUUUUUUUAGUUCAAAUAAGAAAAAGAGUUUGCGACCUCGAUGUUGGAUUAAGAUAAAAUUUAAAUGCAGAAGUUUAAAAUUUUGAUCUGUUCGAUCAUUAAAAUCUUACAUGAUCUGAGUUCAAACCGGUGUAAGCCAGGUUGGUUUCUAUCUUUUAAUAAAUAAAAUAUUUUAGUACGAAAGGAUUAAAUAUUUAAAUUAAAUUUAUAUUUUUUUUUGAAUAUUAUU